UACGUAGGGUGCAAGCGUUGUCCGGAAUUAUUGGGCGUAAAGAGCUCGUAGGCGGUCUGUCGCGUCGGCUGUGAAAACUCGGGGCUCAACCCCGAGCCUGCAGUCGAUACGGGCAGACUAGAGUGCUGUAGGGGAGACUGGAAUUCCUGGUGUAGCGGUGAAAUGCGCAGAUAUCAGGAGGAACACCGGUGGCGAAGGCGGAUCUCUGGGCCGAUACUGACGCUGAGGAGCGAAAGCGUGGGGAGCAAACAGG
rnacentral:rRNA from 1 species